rnacentral:rRNA from 1 species
UACGAAGGGGGCUAGCGUUGCUCGGAAUCACUGGGCGUAAAGGGCGCGUAGGCGGACUCUUAAGUCGGGGGUGAAAGCCCAGGGCUCAACCCUGGAAUUGCCUUCGAUACUGAGAGUCUUGAGUUCGGAAGAGGUUGGUGGAACUGCGAGUGUAGAGGUGAAAUUCGUAGAUAUUCGCAAGAACACCAGUGGCGAAGGCGGCCAACUGGUCCGAUACUGACGCUGAGGCGGCGAAA